GCGCGAAACCUCCGCAAUGCACGCAAGUGCGACGGGGGAACCCCAAGUGCCACUCUUAACGGGGUGGCUUUUCAGAAGUGUAAAAAGCUUCUGGAAUAAGGGCUGGGCAAGACCGGUGCCAGCCGCCGCGGUAACACCGGCAGCUCAAGUGGUAGCCGCUUUUAUUGGGCCUAAAGCGUCCGUAGCCGGUCUGAUAAGUCUCUGGUGAAAUCCCACAGCUUAACUGUGGGAAUUGCUGGAGAUACUAUCAUGACUCGAGGUCGGGAGAGGCUGGAGGUACUCCCAGGGUAGGGGUGAAAUCCUGUAAUCCUGGGAGGACCACCUGUGGC
rnacentral:rRNA from 1 species